rnacentral:rRNA from 1 species
AAUGGCUCAUUAAAUCAGUUAUCGUUUAUUUGAUAGUACCUUUACCUGGAUAACCGUGGUAAUUCUAGAGCUAAUACAUGCUAAAAACCUCGACUUCGGAAGGGGUGUAUUUAUUAGAUAAAAAACCAAUGCCCUUCGGGGCUCCUUGGUGAUUCAUAAUAACUUAACGAAUCGCAUGGCCUUGCGCCGGCGAUGGUUCAUUCAAAUUUCUGCCCUAUCAACUUUCGAUGGUAAGAUAGUGGCUUACCAUGGUCUCAACGGGUAACGGGGAAUUAGGGUUCUAUUCCGGAGAGGGAGCCUGAGAAACGGCUACCACAUCCAAGGAAGGCAGCAGGCGCGCAAAUUACCCAAUCCCAAUUCGGGGAGGUAGUGACAAUAAAUACUGAUACGGGGCUCUUUCGGGUCUCGUAAUUGGAAUGAGUACAAUCUAAAUCCCUUAACG